rnacentral:lncRNA from 1 species
CCCAAGGGACUCUGCAAGCUAGUCAUGUGACAUACUUCUGACCAAUGAGAGGCCAGCAGAAGUCUUUGUGAGAGGCUGCCAGGAUUUACCGGUUCCAGUCUCUUUUGCUUUCUGUUUUCUCUUUCUUCCUGUCUGGAAUGUAGCUGUAGUGCCUGAAAGGGCUGCGGCUAUUUUGCAAACCUGGGGUGGAAGUUACCUGUUUCUGAUGGCAGAGAGGUGCUAGAAGGUGCCAGGGUCCGUGCAAGUCCGAAUCAUCAUGCCAGCCUUCUCCGGAUUCUGGCCACUACCGGGAGCGCCAGGAGCCAGAGGCGCCACACAUCAAAAGGUGGUUUUGAAGGGGCUGCCCCCAUCACUCCUAAUGACCUCCAGUGACAUUUUGUGUGUCCACCCUGCAACUUUGGGUUUCCCUGGUUUUGAAGUCCUGGUUCUCAUGGAAUUCACAGAAGAAGAAAUGCACAUGGAGGACGCAGGAAGGGGGUUUGGCCACAUCAUUUCUAUGACUUCCAGGUCACAGCUGCUCCUUGGCAUGACUGUGCCUCAACCCCAGACUUCCUGUCUAUCAUGGCAGAAGGAGAAUUCCUUGGCUUGAGGUGGAAGAAAUCACAGCAGGUUCUUCCAUGCCCUGGACUAGACAAGCCAUCGUCAGGGCGUCUGACAAGACUGUGUCUGCCUGGAAGGAGCGGGCCCUGACCCAGCCUAUGGGCCUGUGUGUGUUGGCAAAGGUUCACAAAGAUGUUGGACUCUGGUCCUGCAUAUUGAAAACAUUUUUCAGUGGAGCCCAGGUAUUUGACUGGAAAAAUGAUAAUAUUCCCUCUCGGGAUGUCAAACAUCCGGAUAAAUAGAAGUCUUUUUCCAUCUUCCCUCUGGCCCGAGGGUUACAAAGGACUCAUAGACACAGGCCUUUGGAACUGGCUAGCUCAGCCAGCGCAAGUACCAACCUGUACCACAGAGAGUGACUAUUUUUAAAAAGAGAGGGAAGUAUGUCGCCCAGGUUUGCUCAGAGAGCCUGGCUCCCUCAGGAGAGGAUGCGGGGCCUGCCUACCUUUCAGAUGGAUGCCUCUGAGUGGUGUCAGGGCAGCCACUGUGACACUUAAGGCUCAUAUCGCCAAGUGCUGCAUAGCAGGAGGCUGGGGCCAGCCUGGAAGGGAGAAGUUAGCCCACCCAGGACUGGGGCUAUGAGAAGGUGGGGGCAGGAAUUGGGCAGAAGGUGCUGUAGGCAUUAACUGAAGAGCUGUUUUUAUUUUCAAUGAACUGGAACCCAAGGAUGCUCAAGCUACAGGGAGCCUGUUGGUUAAAUAAAGACUUAAUGCAGACAUGCCCUCCCACACACACAAAAUCCUCCUGCAAACAGUGUGAUGGGCCUGCUGGACAAGCUUUUGGGAGGAAGCCACAGAGAGGGAAUGACCCCACAUCUUCCUCAAGUUUCACAAGGAGUCAUGACAACCUUCCCAGAUCUUGGGCUUCUUUGAGAGCCAUCUUACACUGUCGAGCCAGUGGCCUCUAGGAUGGACUCUGAUUCCCCAACUCUGCUUGUCUCCAUGUCACUGGAAGCCACUGCCUGGUGUGUGGGCACUGAAGCCCCUGGGGCCAAUACAAACACUUUAUUUAACUCCUUGCCUUUGGCUCCAGUAGGACACCAUGCCCUGUCACAUUUGGUGUGAGAUCUUAAUUCUUUAAGAAGUACUUCCUUGGGCUGGAGAGAUGAAGAGCACUGGCUGCUCUUCCAGAGGUCCUGAGUUCAAUUCCCAGCAACCACAUGGUGGCUCACAGUCAUCUGUAAUGAGAUCUGGUGCCCUCUUCUGGCCUGCAGGCAUAUAUGGAGGCAGAAUGUUAUAUAAAAAAUAAAUAAAUAAAUCUCUUUUUAAAAAAAGUACUUCCUUGUGGGUAGAAUUAGAGUUGAUUGAAUAUUCU